rnacentral:rRNA from 1 species
UACAGAGGUCUCGAGCGUUGUUCGGAUUCAUUGGGCGUAAAGGGUGCGUAGGUGGCGCUGUAAGUCGGGUGUGAAAUCCUGAGGCUUAACCUCGGAACUGCAUUCGAUACUGCAGCGCUUGAGGACUGGAGAGGAGACUGGAAUUCAUGGUGUAGCAGUGAAAUGCGUAGAGAUCAUGAGGAAGACCAGUGGCGAAGGCGGGUCUCUGGACAGUUCCUGACACUGAGGCACGAAGGCCAGGGGAGCAAACGGG